AUUCAGUAAUAUUCACACCAAAGUAUAUGUAUAGAUAUAUCCAUUAAAAUUAUGAACAUUUCUAAAUAUAUUUUAUGUAUCAUACAUAUAUUUAUAUGUAUAAUUACAUAUCCACAGAAGUAGUCUUGCUGUGCUAAAGCCAGCAGUAAAAGCAAAAACAGGUUUCACAAUAGGACACCCAUAUAUGCAUAUGUACUGGCUGUUUAGUUUGUGAAUUUAUUUACAACUUAACUAUUUUAUAAUAAAUGCUUACUGUUCUAUUGUACAAACGUAAUAGUAAAGGUUUAGGUUUGUUUUUUAAAUACAAAGACUGCAAAUGAAUACAUGAAAAAAAUUACAUACCAUGUACAGUAUUUAUAAUUUAUAAAUGCAAAGUUAAGACCUCUUUAAAUUAUUGCACUUGCAUAUUUUUUGUUUUUUUACAAAGAUAGUUUAUAUGUAUCAUAUAUAUAUAUGUGUGUAAAUAUAUAUAUAUAAAACAAAUUUUUCAGCUCACUAAAUGUAGUAAAGUUGAAUGUUGUUACCUUGAAGUUCGUUCUUCUUCACAUAACAGCCCAACCUGAAUUUUGAAUAUAUAUGAAUCUACUCUACAAAUCAGUUUGAUCUACCCUAGAAAGCAGUCCAUUAUUUUAGGUUUUUUGACAGAGUAUACACCCGUAUUACAAUCGAGCACAGUUUUUGGUCAGAAAGCAAAAUAAGAGUUAUGAUGUGCCUUUGCUAGAUUGGGAUAUAUAACCUAAAGUUUGAACAUGAACUUCCUCGUACUAGUGUGCAGAAAGCCUUUUCUGUGUUUAGAAUGAACAAAUUCAUUGUUCCACUUCACAGAACUGUUCCUAUAUCACAGUGUUUGAGGCAAAUGCAUUCUUUCAAGAGGGUCAUAAUUGUUUUUGAGCAUCUAACAAUCUCUACUUUUUCACAUGAAUAGUGCUAUUUGCUAUCCCUACAAUUUUAACACUAAAUGCUCUAAAUGCAGUCACAGCAAACUGAUUGCACUGUUCUAAGUUUAAACACGUGAAAGAAGUCUGUGCCACAUAAAAACAUGAAUUCUACACUGCAUGUCCUCUCCGAUGUAAAUACGUUUUAUCAUAUACUCCAACUAAAAAGAUGUAUUGCAUUUCUCUAAUGUAAUAACUAAAUGGCCACUUAUAAAAAAACACUGCCAUGAGUUGAACCAUUACAGCAGAAUGUUGUACUACUGUACAAAAUUCAUAGCUUAAAUAUAACAGUGGAGUUUCUGUCAGUGCUGUAACAAAACAUGCAACAUCUCAGAUGAGUGUCAUGCUAUGUCAACUAUUUUUCUCACUUAGUGCAUACCUUUCAGGCACCAUUUCAUAAUACAUUAGAAAUGCUCAGAUAUGGCUUCAAACAGUCCUUUUACCUUUACCGGGCUUAUAAGGGAAAAGCAAUUGGAAUUAUUAACAAAAAUAAUGCAGUUUUGGGAGUAUAAAGUCUAACACUUCUAGGAAAGGAGAGAUCUGCUAGGUUUUUUAUACAUUCUUGCUGAUCUUGGGCAAGAUCAGUUUUAGGAGGAUAAAAAUGCAAGGAAGAAUGCCUUUUGGCAUUUUAACUUAAUGAGCCAGAUGUCUUACAGAUCUAGAUGUCUUACUGCUCUAUUUGUGAGUCCAAGUCCAGAAUUUUGAACAAUUAAAUCUCAACAUGUACUUGAGCCAUGAGAUUCAAAAGCCUCUUCAAAGUUUUAAUUUUUGGUGGUUUUGACUUUGGAAGUGUGGGUAUAAGUUUGUUUCUACAAAAAAUUUACACAUCUGAAUCUGCACUCUGUAAAUGCUAAGGCAGACUAAAUUUGCUUAGAAAAUACAGCCCGUUGUGGCUACUUUUUUGGUCUAGGUGCUAACAAAGAG